rnacentral:rRNA from 1 species
UUGACCUCGGAUCAGGUAGGGCUACCCGCUGAACUUAAGCAUAUCAAUAAGCGGAGGAAAAGAAACCAACAGGGAUUGCCUCAGUAACGGCGAGUGAAGCGGCAAGAGCUCAAAUUUGAAAUCUGGCUCCUCCGGGGCCCGAGUUGUAAUUUGGAGAGGAUGCUUCGGGCGUGGCCCCUAUCUAAGUGCCCUGGAACGGGCCGU